rnacentral:rRNA from 1 species
UACAGAGGUCUCAAGCGUUGUUCGGAUUCAUUGGGCGUAAAGGGUGCGUAGGUGGGCAAGUAAGUCAGUGGUGAAAUCUCCGGGCUUAACCCGGAAACUGCCAUUGAUACUAUUUGUCUUGAAUACUGUGGAGGUCAGCGGAAUAUGUCAUGUAGCGGUGAAAUGCUUAGAUAUGACAUAGAACACCAAUUGCGAAGGCAGCUGGCUACGCGAAUAUUGACACUGAUGCACGAAAGCGUGGGGAUCAAACAGG